rnacentral:misc_RNA from 1 species
GUUUAAAUAUUGGGAAAAUGAGUGGUUACUACUAUAACAAAAACAACCCGUUUGCUUUGAUUAUUGAUAAUAUUUUCGACAAGGGAAAUGGUAUGCUUGUGUGUGUUCUCUCUCUCUCUCUCUCUCUCUCUCUCUCUCUCUCUCUCUCUCUCUCUCUCUCUCUCUCUCUCUCUCUCUCUCUGCACUGCAGUGUAAGUACAUAGAUUUUCUCUGUUUAGAUUGUCAAAAUGAACAAAAAUACUUUUUUUUUCGAAAUGACAUUAAAGUCUUCUAACUUUAUAAAACACGCAAUACAAAAAGCUAUUUUUCAUAGAUCGGUAUGUAAUUCACUAAUUGUAGUUUUUGAUAAAUGAUAUUGUUUUCAUUUAUCUGUUAUGAACAUGAAAAAAUGAUAUCAACCUCAUGAAUUAAUGUUAAGGAUAAUUCCUACAGCGUUUGAAUCAGUCCAUGUCAUUCAUAGUUCUAUAAUAAACAGCGCUGACGUAAUGCCGGACGAUCAUGAUUAAGGAGCGACCAGGGACCUUCAGGUCACCAGGUGGUUUCAACGAUAAGACAAUAUGUACAACAACUUGCACAAUUCUAUUCUAGAUGAUUCUUGUGAUAGCACUGUGGACUCUCUUGUUGGCAAACUCAGCGGCAGGGGGUUUCCUCUGGAAAUGUGCUCUUAUCGGGGAAUCUUACGAUAUUAGGCACACGAGAUGCACGUGCAUGGAAACCGGCUACUUUGAAUGUCAUAAAAUCUACAAGGCUGAAUUUACUUCUCGAAAAGGUAGAAUUGAUAAACGCUUGUCAUUUUUUUUACAGUUCUGACUAGCCGAGUUGCGCUUUCCGUCUUGGGAAUGAAUCAAUGUUUGCAUUUUUUUAGAAGCCAUAUUACCGAGUUUGGCAAAGAUAUUGCGGAGGAGAUACAAUACACCGCCCCCAUUGACCACCUCAACUAAAGGUACCACCAACUCGCCACCACCGUACACCACCCAGACCCCUCCCAACCCACACACGACGGACGCCCCCACCUCGCCCGUCACACACGGAGCCGCCACGGUCAACCAUCACACCCGAUCCCCACCCCCACCCAAAGCUGUCCUCGGAUAAUGUCAAGUUGACGUCAAAAUGAAUAAAUAUUUCAUGAACAAG